UGAUGGAGCUAACUAGAAUUCAUUUAGUGUAUGAGCACUAAAGGACUUUGGAAACAAAGGGAAAACUGUAAUAAAGAGAUAAUGACACCUAUUACCCAGAAGUACAGACAAAUCGCCGUGCCAGCAGUCGCGGUAAAACGGCUUGUACAAACGUUAAUCCUCCUUAAUGGGCAUAAAGGGUUCGUAGGCAGCUUCCUGUAAAAAUAUAUAGGAUGAUAGAAUCAAAUAAAGGAUAAUACAAUGCUUUUACGAAAAGUUUAAUUUUUAAACUAUUAGCAGAGUGUUAAUGGCGAAGGCAGUUAUCCGGGUAUGAUUGACGCUGAGGAACUAAGGUUAGGAUCGGAAACAGGAUUAGAGACCCAGGUACCCCUAACAGGCAACGAUGAAUGCUAGAUGUUAGUAAUAAUUAGCGUCGAUGUGAAAAAAACGUUAAGCAUUCCGCCUUGACAGUAUACUUGCAAAAGUGAAAUCAAAAAAAUUAGUCGGUUUCGAAGCAAACGAAGUGAAGCAUGUUGUUCAAUACGAUGAUCCA
rnacentral:rRNA from 1 species